UGAUAUAGUGAUAAUAAAAUCCCCGACUGCGUUUGUUGUAGGCUUUUUCUAGACCAGGGCACGUUUGGAA